rnacentral:lncRNA from 1 species
CAGGUAAUUCCCAAACCACACCAUUAUACUAUCCACUAGUGAGCAUCGUUUUUCUACUAACAUGUGAUGCAAUAUGAACAGCACUUCCAACCUCACCAAUCCUGGUUCAUAGCUCAUCAACCAAAGUGGCAUUGUUUAGUCUUUCUUGUUAAAGUUUAGUCCUGAAAGAAAGCAUACGUGUUAAACCCCAAAAGAAAAAUAUAGCUAAUUAAACCCUAAAAGAAAAAUAUAGCUAAGUAUCCCAAAAAUAAUUUCAUGACAUGACCAGAUAAAUCAUUAGCAAAAAGAACAAAAAUCUAAUGCCUUGAUGCUUUGCUAAUUAACUUCUUCACAUAUUAUUUAUGUGUUGCAGAACUAGCUUCUUCAACGAAGGUGACAGCGAAAUGCGAUGUAUAUAGUUUUGGCGUUGUUGCAUUAGAAGUGCUAAUGGGGAAGCACCCCCAGGAACUCCUCCUAUCUCUGCAAUCUGGAGAGUAUAAUCUGCUGCUUGCCAAUAUUUUUGAUAAGAGGCUCACGCCUCCAAGUGGUCACAUUAUGCAAGAUCUGGUUUUAGCAGCAACACUAGCCUUGAUAUGCAUAAGUGAAAAUCCCAUGUCAAGACCCACGAUGCGUCAAGUAUCCAGCGAACUGCUAACAGGAGCACGUCUUCCUCUCUCCAUACCUUUGCACCUGCUCACACUGCAGAACUUGAUGGAUAUGUUUUCUCAUGUUGGAUCCCAACAAGCAACAAGGCCCUAGCAAAGUUCCAGCAGGCAAAAUCUCUCCCUCUCUCUGCACCUUUCCACAAGCUCGUAUUGCGGAAGUUUCUGUCUAAAGUUUUCCAAAAUAUACCUGUCGAACAAGUUGUCUUAAAUGUACUUCUCAGUUUAGCUAAUCAUCUACUUUCAUCUAGUUAUCAGAUUCAACAUACUUUGAUUCUAUAUCCUUCUUCAUCUCCUAGGGAAUCACAAAUAGAUAAUUUCUUCCACAAGCAAAGCAAUGGGUAAAUGAUUAGAUAGAAAAUCACCUGAUUAUGCAACAGCAUCACAACAUUGAAACACACACUCUCGGUGCUUCAAAAACUGGAAACAAGAAUAAGAAUCUCGUUCUGACUUGGGCCAGACAUAACAGGAUAUGAACUCUUCGAUAACCUAUAAACUUGCUGAGAACCUGAAAGAACGCACAUACGCAAAUUAAACUAACACGAAAUUACUAAAAGGGAGAACAGACAUAAAUUUCAGACUAGUAAUUUGCAUAUAACGAAUGUCAUGACCGAUGAUAAGGAUAAAGAAGUUGGAUUAAAACUAUUGCAUAACUUCUACCGAUUUAACUAGUACUUGAACUUGAUGAUGAGGUUAUGACCGUCACUAUGUAAUUUGGCGUGAAAUAAGAAACCGCACGCAAAGCCCGCCUCACCUCUCCGCUAGCCUGCGUGCUUUUAGGGAUGGUAGUGCCGUAGUGGGGUGGGGGUGGGGAGGCCUGCCCAUUCCCCCGUCAUAUUAAAAAUUUCGUUUCCAUUUUUCAUUUCAUCUCCUAAGAUGAAAAUAGAGAAUCCGAAUUCUCC